rnacentral:tRNA from 1 species
GGAGGAUAUGCGAAUGGUGAGCGGGCUGACUCGAAAUCAGUUGCCGGGAGACCGGUUGAGGGUUCGAAUCCCUUGUCCUCCGC